AAUGUUGGGGGAAAAUUUAUUGGUCUAUGCGACCGCAUAGAAGGAUUCUAUGCGGUCGCAUAGACCAAUAAAUUUUCCCCCAACAUU
rnacentral:miRNA from 1 species